rnacentral:misc_RNA from 1 species
GUAGGUGAACCUGCGGAAGGAUCAUUAACGAGUAAGGGGCUUCGCGCCCCGGGGGUUCCGGCCCCGACUCUUCACCCUGUGCGUACCUACCUUUGUUGCUUUGGCGGACCUCGGUUAACCCCGACGCCGGCCCGGGGGCGACCCCGGGCUCGCGAGCGCCCGCCGAAGGCCAAUUUAACUCUGUUUAUCGGUGAAGUCUGAGGAGAAAUUCAAUAACUAAAACUUUCAACAACGGAUCUCUUGGUUCUG